rnacentral:rRNA from 1 species
UUUGCCUACGGGAGGCAGCAGUAGGGAAUCUUCCACAAUGGGGGAAACCCUGAUGCAGCGAUGCCGCGUGGAGGAAGAAGGUUUUCGGAUUGUAAACUCCUUUUAUCAGGGACGAUAAUGACGGUACCUGAAGAAAAAGCUCCGGCUAACUACGUGCCAGCAGCCGCGGUAAUACGUAGGGAGCGAGCGUUGUCCGGAAUUACUGGGUGUAAAGGGAGCGUAGGCGGGACGGCAAGUCAGAUGUGAAAACUGUGGGCUCAACCUUCAGACUGCAUUUGAAACUGCUGUUCUUGA